AGAGUUUGAUCCUGGCUCAGGACGAACGCUGGCGGCGCGCCUAAUACAUGCAAGUCGAGCGAGAACCAGGGCUUCGGCCCUGGGGAGAGCGGCGAACGGGUGCGUAUCACGUGAGCAACCUGCCUCGGAGACCGGAAUAACUCGAGGAAACUCGGGCUAAUGCCGGAUGCCCUCGGUGGACCGCAUGGUCCGGCGAGGAAAUGGAUUCCGCUCCGAGAUGGGCUCGCGGCCUAUCAGCUUGUUGGUGGGGUAACGGCCUACCAAGGCGACGACGGGUAGCUGGUCUGAGAGGACGAUCAGCCACACUGGGACUGAGACACGGCCCAGACUCCUACGGGAGGCAGCAGUAGGGAAUCUUGCGCAAUGGGGGAAACCCUGACGCAGCGACGCCGCGUGCGGGAUGAAGGCCUUCGGGUCGUAAACCGCUUUCAGCAGGGACGAAAUUGACGGUACCUGCAGAAGAAGGCCCGGCCAACUACGUGCCAGCAGCCGCGGUGAUACGUAGGGGUCUAGCGUUGUCCGGAAUUAUUGGGCGUAAAGAGCUCGUAGGCGGUUCGGCAAGUCGGAUGUGAAAUCUCCACGCUUAACGUGGAGGGGCCAUUCGAAACUGCCGUGACUCGAGUCCGGUAGGGGAGUGCGGAAUUCCCGGUGUAGCGGUGAAAUGCGCAGAUAUCGGGAGGAACACCAGUGGCGAAGGCGGCACUCUGGGCCGGAACUGACGCUGAGGAGCGAAAGCGUGGGGAGCGAACAGGAUUAGAUACCCUAGUAGUCC
rnacentral:rRNA from 1 species